rnacentral:rRNA from 1 species
CCUACGGGCGGCUGCAGUGGGGAAUAUUGGACAAUGGGGGCAACCCUGAUCCAGCCAUGCCGCGUGUGUGAAGAAGGCCCUCGGGUUGUAAAGCACUUUCAGUGAGGAAGAACGCCUGGUGGUUAAUACCCAUCAGGAAAGACAUCACUCACAGAAGAAGCACCGGCUAACUCCGUGCCAGCAGCCGCGGUAAUACGGAGGGUGCGAGCGUUAAUCGGAAUUACUGGGUGUAAAGCGCGCGUAGGUGGCUUGAUAAGCCGGUUGUGAAAGCCCCGGGCUCAACCUGGGAACGGCAUCCGGAACUGUCAAGCUAGAGUGCAGGAGAGGAAGGUAGAAUUCCCGGUGUAGCGGUGAAAUGCGUAGAGAUCGGGAGGAAUACCAGUGGCGAAGGCGGCCUUCUGGACUGACACUGACACUGAGGUGCGAAAGCGUGGGUAGCAAACAGGAUUAGAUACCCCAGUAGUC